rnacentral:rRNA from 1 species
GUCUAUGGCCAUACCACCCUGAACGUGCCCAAUCUUGUCUGAUCUUGGAAGCUAAGCAGGGUUGGCUUCGUUAGUACUUAGAUGGGAAGAAAUACACUUUAAUGAUUGACC